AAUCUUUUGAAGACUUGGUGCCAAAUAUCUAGAGACCAGACUAUCUACGAGAGAGAAAAUUAUUUAUUUAAAAAAAGAUGAUCCUCAAACUAAUCCCAUCAGCAAAAUAAUCACGAAAUACCGUUGCUUUCGCUACGCCCUGGUUCCCAAGUAGGCCAUGUAUCAUGGCUGUUCGCUACAAUGCUAUGGAAGACAAUAACUUCAAUAUAUUGCGUAGUCCAUUGAAGAAUUCGUUAAAAAUCAAUCUUAUAAAUCGUAGUUUAAUUACUCAAUGAAUAUUAACCAAAAUGGUAGAUACUGCAAUCGUGAGUUCUUAAUUUCGUAAACUAAUUUUAGUCGGUAAUUAAAUUCAAAUUGUUCAUAUGCUUUGAGCUGUAUAAUUGUUAUCUUACUAGCUUAAUAAUAGCUUAAUGCAUUUAGUUAAGUAGGUUUGUUAUUAGAGACGACGACCUACUUUAACAACCAGUGCCUUAUCGAUAUGUACAAGUGGCCAGUGUUUUUUAACAUACAAACUGACAAUUGUUGUACUAAACAAAGUAAAAACUAAAAAGUUUUUAUUCAAAUUAUGCUUAAAUUCCGAACACGACGUUUAAUUUGCAGCCACCCGGAUAAAACCGCUACUCUCACCGAGUUGUUGCGACCAAUCAAAAACCAGUAUUCGAAACCAGUUUUUAAAAUAUUCGCGAUAUACCAUUAAAAACCUUCAUGUUUGUCGAUGAACCGAACUAUAAAAUACCAUAGAUUGAAGAUGACUGGCAAAAUUACGAGGUUAUGUCAUUUGUCAACUUAGGUGAUAAAUGCAGUGCCAACAACUUUUGUUUAAAUGUUCCAUUGAGCACCAAUGCCACAAUUUUUAGCACGUUUAGCGACACGGGUGUGAAUACGUUCAAUGUUUGAAUGACUGUUGUAUUUCGUAGUAUUUUCAAAGACAAGGACGCACUGUCAAGGACAAGAAGUUACGAUAAUAUAGGUCAGAAAGUUAUUUAAUGCUGACAAUAUUGACGAUAAUCUAAUGUUUUUUCAGAAUACACAGUUAACACAGUUUUUUUUCUUCGCGUAACACCGCACCUAUAUGUAGGGUCUGUCUUUUUGGACCUUGAGACAUAGUGCAUGGUGCAUUAUGGUGCAGAAUAAACAAGAUGGAUUGCAUCACCCAUUGAACAAACCGACCUCGGAUUAAAGUAACGAAAACGGACGUGCUGGAGUCCUAAUUUUAGUCCUCUUAGCCUUCCUACCAUUUUCGUCCACGAUACAAGGAAAGGAUGGACGCAUAGAUAUGGCUGGCUAAUAUCCUAUUUCUGUGCGUCCCCUUCUCCGUCGAUUAAA